GGAUGUGAGAGUGAUCUGGCUAUGACAUCUGUCACUCCAUUGAUCACCAGGGUUGAUUUGUCUGAUCUGGCUGGCUUGGCGGGUGUCCCCUUCCUCCCUCACCUCUCCAAGUCAAAGAGGUCAGGUCGGCCUUCCCCGAAUAGAGACUGACGGGUUGGUAGAAGGUAUACCAGUAGCUGCACUCCCCUGCUAGAACCUCCAAACAAGCUCUCAAAGGUGCAGUGAAGAGAUUAGUAAAUUUGUAUUGUGUAUUGCAGAAAAAAAAAACCCUGAAACAAUAGAUUUUU
ensembl:misc_RNA 7SK 7SK RNA